UCUACCGUUUUUGUCACAGUC
rnacentral:piRNA from 1 species